rnacentral:rRNA from 1 species
UUGGUUAAGUUAGAAAGGGCGCACGGUGGAUGCCUUGGCACUAGGAGCCGAAGAAGGACGGGACUAACACCGAUAUGCUUUGGGGAGCUGUACGUAAGCGUUGAUCCAGAGAUUUCCGAAUGGGGGAACCCACUAUCUUUAGUCGGAUAGUAUCCUUACGUGAAUACAUAGCGUGAGGAAGGCAGACCCAGGGAACUGAAACAUCUAAGUACCUGGAGGAAGAGAAAGAAAAAUCGAUUUCCUGAGUAGCGGCGAGCGAAACGGAAAGAGCCCAAACCAAGAAGCUUGCUUCUUGGGGUUGUAGGACACUCUAUACGGAGUUACAAAAGAAAGUUAUAAAUGAAGCGGUCUGGAAAGGCCCGCCAAAGACGGUAACAGCCCGGUAGUUGAAAUGGCUUUCCCUCCAGAGUGGAUCCUGAGUACGGCGGAACACGUGAAAUUCCGUCGGAAUCCGGGAGGACCAUCUCCCAAGGCUAAAUACUCCCUAGUGACCGAUAGUGAACCAGUACCGUGAGGGAAAGGUGAAAAGCACCCCGGAAGGGGAGUGAAACAGUUCCUGAAACCGUGUGCCUACAAGUAGUUAGAGCCCGUUAAUGGGUGAUAGCGUGCCUUUUGUAGAAUGAACCGGCGAGUUACGAUUUGUUGCAAGGUUAAGCGGAAAAAGCGGAGCCGUAGCGAAAGCGAGUCUGAAUAGGGCGCAUAAGUAACAGGUCGUAGACCCGAAACCAGGUGAUCUACCCAUGUCCAGGAUGAAGGUAAGGUAAUACUUACUGGAGGUCCGAACCCACGCACGUUGAAAAGUGCGGGGAUGAGGUGUGGGUAGCGGAGAAAUUCCAAUCGAACUUGGAGAUAGCUGGUUCUCUCCGAAAUAGCUUUAGGGCUAGCCUCGAGGUAAAGAGUCAUGGAGGUAGAGCACUGUUUGGACUAGGGGCCCUUCUCGGGUUACCGAAUUCAGAUAAACUCCGAAUGCCAUGUACUUAUACUCGGGAGUCAGACUGCGAGUGAUAAGAUCCGUAGUCGAAAGGGAAACAGCCCAGACCACCAGUUAAGGUCCCCAAAUAUAUGUUAAGUGGAAAAGGAUGUGGGGUUGCUUAGACAACCAGGAUGUUGGCUUAGAAGCAGCCACCAUUGAAAGAGUGCGUAAUAGCUCACUGGUCGAGU